GACGAACGCUGGCGGCGUGCUUAACACAUGCAAGUCGAACGGAAAGGCCCUGCUUUUGUGGGGUGCUCGAGUGGCGAACGGGUGAGUAACACGUGAGUAACCUGCCCUUGACUUUGGGAUAACUUCAGGAAACUGGGGCUAAUACCGGAUAGGAGCUCCUGCUGCAUGGUGGGGGUUGGAAAGUUUCGGCGGUUGGGGAUGGACUCGCGGCUUAUCAGCUUGUUGGUGGGGUAGUGGCUUACCAAGGCUUUGACGGGUAGCCGGCCUGAGAGGGUGACCGGCCACAUUGGGACUGAGAUACGGCCCAGACUCCUACGGGAGGCAGCAGUGGGGAAUAUUGCGCAAUGGGCGGAAGCCUGAUGCAGCAACGCCGCGUUCGGGAUGACGGCCUUCGGGUUGUAAACCGCUUUCGCCUGUGACGAAGCGUGAGUGACGGUAAUGGGUAAAGAAGCACCGACUAACUACGUG
rnacentral:rRNA from 1 species